rnacentral:rRNA from 1 species
UACGGGGGGGGCAAGCGUUGUUCGGAAUUACUGGGCGUAAAGGGCUCGUAGGCGGCCAACUAAGUCGGACGUGAAAUCCCCAGGCUCAACCUGGGAACUGCGUCCGAUACUGGAUGGCUUGAAUCCGGGAGAGGGAUGCAGAAUUCCAGGUGUAGCGGUGAAAUGCGUAGAUAUCUGGAGGAAUACCGGUGGCGAAGGCGGCAUCCUGGACCGGCACUGACGCUGAGGCGCGAAAGCUAGGGGAGCAAACGGG